GACGAACGCUGGCGGUGUGCUUAACACAUGCAAGUCGAACGGAAAGGCCCUGCUUUUGUGGGGUGCUCGAGUGGCGAACGGGUGAGUAACACGUGAGUAACCUGCCCUUGACUUUGGGAUAACUUCAGGAAACUGGGGCUAAUACCGGAUAGGAGCUCCUGCUGCAUGGUGGGGGUUGGAAAGUUUCGGCGGUUGGGGAUGGACUCGCGGCUUAUCAGCUUGUUGGUGGGGUAGUGGCUUACCAGGGCUUUGACGGGUAGCCGGCCUGAGAGGGUGACCGGCCACAUUGGGACUGAGAUACGGCCCAGACUCCUACGGGAGGCAGCAGUGGGGAAUAUUGCACAAUGGGCGGAAGCCUGAUGCAGCAACGCCGCGUGCGGGAUGACGGCCUUCGGGUUGUAAACCGCUUUCGCCUGUGACGAAGCGUGAGUGACGGUAAUGGGUAAAGAAGCACCGGCUAACUACGUG
rnacentral:rRNA from 1 species